UACGAAGGUGGCAAGCGUUGUUCGGAUUUACUGGGCGUAAAGGGCGCGUAGGUGGCCCGGUCAGUUCGUGGUGAAAGCGCGGGGCUCAACCCUGCGUCGGCCAUGAAUACUGCCGCGGCUGGAGCACUGUAGAGGCAGGCGGAAUUCCGGGUGUAGCGGUGGAAUGCGUAGAGAUCCGGAAGAACACCGGUGGCGAAGGCGGCCUGCUGGGCAGUGGCUGACGCUGAGGCGCGACAGCGUGGGGAGCAAACAGG
rnacentral:rRNA from 1 species